rnacentral:rRNA from 1 species
UACGUAGGGUGCGAGCGUUAAUCGGAAUUACUGGGCGUAAAGCGUGCGCAGGCGGUUUUGUAAGCCAGAUGUGAAAUCCCCGGGCUCAACCUGGGAAUGGCAUUUGGGACUGCAAGGCUGGAGUACGGCAGAGGAGACUGGAAUUCCUGGUGUAGCAGUGAAAUGCGUAGAGAUCAGGAGGAACACCGGUGGCGAAGGCGGGUCUCUGGGCCGAUGACUGACGCUGAGGAGCGAAAGCGUGGGGAGCGAACAGG